UGCAUAUCCAAAAAGCGGAGGAAAAGAAACCAACAGGGAUUGCCUCAGUAACGGCGAGUGAAGCGGCAACAGCUCAAAUUUGAAAUCUGGCCUCUUGGGGUCCGAGUUGUAAUUUGUAGAGGAUGUUUCGGGUACCGCCUCGGUUUAAAUUUCUUGGAACAGAAUGUCAAAGAGGGUGAGAAUCCCGUCUUGGACCGGCGGUAGGGCCUAUGUGAAACUCCUUCGACGAGUCGAGUUGUUUGGGAAUGCAGCUCAAAAUGGGUGGUAAAUUUCAUCUAAAGCUAAAUAUUGGCCAGAGACCGAUAGCGCACAAGUAGAGUGAUCGAAAGAUGAAAAGCACUUUGAAAAGAGAGUUAAACAGUAUGUGAAAUUGUUGAAAGGGAAGCGCUUGCAACCAGACUUGAGCGCGGCGGUUCCCCCUUGCUUCUGCUUGGGUUACUCCGCCGCGUCCAGGCCAACAUCGGUUCUGGGGGUCGGUCAAAGGCUCUGGGAAUGUAUCUACCCACGGGUAGACUUAUAGACCAGGGUGUCAUGCGACCUCCCGGGACCGAGGAACGCGCUUCGGCUCGGAUGUUGGCGUAAUGGUUGUCAGCGACCCGUCUUGAAACCACGGACCCA
rnacentral:rRNA from 1 species